rnacentral:lncRNA from 1 species
CACCAGCAGUGAGUGAGGGUUCUCUUUGCCCGAAUCCUCUCCAGUAUUUGUUGUUGGUUGUUUUGUUGAUCUUUGCUGCUCUGAUCCAGUAUUAUUGCCUGGAGUUUAAGACAGAAACCCACACUGGAGCCUUUGGAGGAUGUUUCAGAGGAAUGUUGAAGUAGUUGGCUCUAGAAAGGAGUGCCAGCUCAUCUAUUUCCAAGUUCACAAUGCUCUGAUACUGUAGCUGAGGUUCAAUGGAGUGAUUAUACAAGACAUCAAUGAAAGAUACUAAUUGAAGCUCUCAGCAUUGUCCUUCUGCUGAUUUUCUCAUAGUUUCUUGCAAGGAGUGCUGCAGAUACCGAACAAUUCUCAAGGCUUGAACUGAGGUUGCUGUGCAGUUUAGAAGCGCU